rnacentral:lncRNA from 1 species
CUGAGUCGACGUGGCUGGAAACAGAUUCCGACAGGGCUUUGUAGCCAUCCCAUAAAUGGCAGUCCUGAAAAUAGUGUCCUCUGUAGCCUGUCAUAGCGGAUACAUGUGACCAGAACUUUUAGGGAGAACUACCCAAGACCAGUUUUGUUGACUUUCGUGUAGACAAGAACCUGAUUUUGCAAACAGCCUAUUCCGAAAUUGGAAUCAGUUUUAGAAUACAAACCUAAUUGCUCAGAGCCAGUGUUAUUAAGACUCGAGGGAAUUUGCAACUUUACCACAUUUAG